rnacentral:lncRNA from 1 species
AGGAGAUUUACUUUAUACCUCUUUGUUGAUACCCCUCAACUUUAUCUGUUUUUUCUUCCAACUUAGCAUCUGUAAUGGUUCUUUUUUCUUUAAGUUUACAAAAUGUUUUGAUCAUUACCGUCUAUGGGGAUGUCCAUAAAGUGCAAAAUGCUAAAUUUCAGAUCUUUUUAAUCCCCUUCUCAUUUCAAUCAAUUUUGUGAUGUAGGUCCCCUGUCCUUUAAAAACAAGGUAGCAUAAUGCUUUCCUCCGCCUCCUUCUCCUCCGAAGCGUUACACAUUUUAUGGACAGCCAAUAAGUUUAUAAUUGGAUCGCUGAGUCUGCUGCAUGGAGACAUAAAAAUCAUGGUAAUAAGUUGGAAUCCAUCUCUUAUUAUUUUGUAAUAAAAUGCAUGAGUUCUUUUUUUGCCACAAAAUAGGGCUACAAACUUCACUUGCACAGGAAAAAAUACUAUUAAAAAAUCUUGGAGCAGAAACACAAGAGGUUUCAACAUCAAAAUCCAAAAAAAUUUGACGGAACUAGGCGUACCAGAAGAUGUUCAUAGUCAGUUCCAUAAUCAUCUGUGGCAGCAGCCUGCAUAUUUUCUUUGAUCCAUUCUUCUAACUCGCUACUUUCCAUCAAGUAUUCAUGCCGGCACAUGCUUUCCAUCAGUCGUUGUUGUCUGGCGGUUGCUAACUUUUGUAAAGUCUUAAUUUGUUGGCUGAUGGCUUGUUGCUUGCUUGAUAUCGCUUUCCAAUCUGGAUGUUUGCUGUUUACCAUCGCAGAUGCAGCAUGUCCCAUUUCUGUGACGAUACUACUGUUCAGGCUCUGGAUAUCACCUUCAUAGGCUUUUACUUCUCCUUGCAGGUCUCUGUGCCGAGCUAAUAGAGCUUGAGCACUUGGUUCAUCUUCACCAUAAUCAGUCGAGCCCACCAGGGCUAAUUUUUCGUUCAACCAUGAUUCUGCUUCAUUAGCAUCUGUAUAGAACUGUAAGAACAAAGGAGAGGAGUUAAAGUAUAAUAUUCUACAGAAUCAGUGUGAUGAAUACGCACAAAAGAAGGAAGAAGAAAGGCGAAAAGAAGAUAAGGUUUGCACUUGAGUAUUUUUUUGGGGCAAAUUAUAAUCUAAAAAAUUAGACAACUGAAUUGGGCUUUGAGUGACGAUUUAUUUGCUCAUCAGGAUAUGGACAACUUAGGUUAAAAAAUGCGUAUUUUAGAUUGCGAUGUUAUAAGUCUCCGCUCAUGUUUCAUUUGUUAAAGAAAAACCAACCAGAAGUUUCGGUUUUUCUCAGUGAAUUUCCCUCGCAU